ACUGAUCCAGCGGAAUUCGUUUCACGACGUUGAAGUCAAACUUAUUGUAGUUUGGUCCGACAAAAGCGCCGCGACCAACAUUUCCCUGGCGCGCGACCAGUUGACCAGUGCAGGUGCUGCCGGUGGCGUUUACCGCACCCGAACAUGGGUUUCUGAAUAAGUCUCGGGUCGGACCAGUCUGCGUCCGCUGAUCCAAAUUCGGAGUCGCAGAAAGCCGCGUGAACGUACCCACAGGUGCGCUGGGAUUCGCUAAGUCAGCGCGCUGACUAAAGGCCGAUCCAACGCUAUCUGUUCCGCCAAAAACGCUGUAAGGAUUACCAGACUGCAACUGCCAAAUACUGCCAAACGACCAGUUGCCCAGGAGGUAACUCAAUGCCUUGUUGUCGAAAUAGAGUGGGAG
rnacentral:misc_RNA from 1 species